CUUCCAUAAAUAUUUUAUCAGAAGCUAGAGAACUACAUAAAUGAAAAGAUAGUUAAAAGUGAAUAUUAAUGUCUGUCUUCUGAGAAUCUUCACUUUACUUUGUGAAGAGAAGUUUCCAUCAGAGAGGAAUCUGAACCACAGAGUGGCUGGAUGGCUUUCCCAAUGGUAAUGGCAAACCUCACUAUAGAAGCAAAAUCUACAGAGUCCUGGAAACAGUGAGUUUCCCCCCGAUUCCACAAUGUUUGACUGAACUGGAGAGAGGUAGUCAGUUGGAUCUGAUUAUGGAAGUAUCUGAAUGCUAAGUUAAGAAAUUCAAGCCUCAUCCUUCAUGAAUUCAACAAACAUUUAUUGAACUCCAGUGUGGUAGCA
rnacentral:lncRNA from 1 species